GACGAACGCUGGCGGCGUGCCUAAUACAUGCAAGUUGAGCGCUGAAGGUUGGUACUUGUACCGACUGGAUGAGCAGCGAACGGGUGAGUAACGCGUGGGGAAUCUGCCUUUGAGCGGGGGACAACAUUUGGAAACGAAUGCUAAUACCGCAUAAAAACUUUAAACACAAGUUUUAAGUUUGAAAGAUGCAAUUGCAUCACUCAAAGAUGAUCCCGCGUUGUAUUAGCUAGUUGGUGAGGUAAAGGCUCACCAAGGCGAUGAUACAUAGCCGACCUGAGAGGGUGAUCGGCCACAUUGGGACUGAGACACGCACCCAACUCCUGCGUGAGGCAGCAGUAGGGAAUCGUCGUCAAUGGACGAAAGUCUGACCGAGCAACGCCGCGUGAGUGAAGAAGGUUUUCGGAUCGUAAAACUCUGUUGGUAGAGAAGAACGUUGGUGAGAGUGGAAAGCUCAUCAAGUGACGGUAACUACCCAGAAAGGGACGGCUAACUACGUGCCAGCAGCCGCGGUAA
rnacentral:rRNA from 1 species